AACGGAGGAGGGAGAGAAGCCGUUCGCCUCCCUGAGUAGGCGAAGCGGCUGUGCUCGGGCCGCUCUUGCCUGCCUCCGGAAAGCGCUCCCGCAGCGCUCUCUGCCGCCGCCGAUGCGGAUCGAAGCGCGGCUCUGCUUUUGCAAGGGGGCUCCCGCCACUCUUAGGUUUAACCUAAGAUGAAGAGAGCGCUUUAUGCUUCUGAUUUUCUGCACCGGAGUAACCUUAUGUGAGAAACAGGGUAAAAGAAUUGUAUCUUUUUAAAAAAAAGGAUAAAAAGGGGCCCAAGGAGAGCUAUUUUAUAAAGGGGAACCAUUUUCUGAGAAAAGGACUGACACGUACCACUUAGAAAAAUAGGAAGACUUAGUCCGUUAGGAUAAGGUAACUUAACCACGAAAGUCCCCAACUGAAGCAGGAAAGGCAGGAAGGUUGUGAAACUAGAUGUUUUGCAAAUAUUCCAAGAAUAGGCGUCAGGAGCGGACUGUUCACUCGAUAGUAACCAGCCAAUGGUGAAGCGGGGGUAGUACUAAGCAUCGGAAAAAGGAAUGUAUAUAAACCUAUGUAUACUAUGGGGAAAUUUCUCUUUGUUCCUUGUAUAACUGGGGACUCAGCCAGCCUUUGCAAAUGCUUCAAUAAAUUUGGCUUGCAUUUACUUAGAUUCCGUUUCAGUGAGUUUUGUAUCUCACACUUAGGAGGCAGUGUCCGCGAAAGUUUUCGCCAGAAUAAAUAACAUUCUGUAGGAUGCCGCGGACUAGCAAGCCUAACACAUCAGCUCCUCUGCAAAUAAGAAGCAAGCUGGAACAAAACAAGCCAACAAAACCAAAAGAACUAGUUGCCAGGCUGGAAUGGAUGAACUGGGGCAUCCAGUAGCUGCCUCUGGAAGGGAGCUGCAUACCUGUGCAAGGAGGAUAAAACAGCCUGGAGGGCAGUGAUGUGUUCUCACAAAAGGGAUUUUCCCAUUCUUCUGUUACAGGUACUCUCUGGCCAAUGGGAGGGAUUCAAGGAGGGAAGCCAAAAAGUAAUUUGAAAGGUGACAAUUUUAGUCCCCUUCAGAGCAUGCAUCAUAUCUGUGACAGGACUAUAGGCAGAGCCUGAGGCUUGUCUCAGUGCAGACUUUGGCUAACAUGGUUUGCAGAGUCCAAGUCAUCCUUUCUACCUGGAACAUACACAAAUGUGGGCCGUCCAUCUUCAUCUACUCUUCCAAGGACCUCCCUAAGGGGAAACUGCUUAACUGGGGCUCAAGAUUUUCUAAUUGGUUUUUGAGGGGUAAGGACUGGAGGCUUUUUAUGGUACAUAGUGGGUCCCUCCCCUGAAGUUCCUGGCCUGGCAACUGCAGUCCCAGUUGUCCCUAUUCCAACGGUAUGUAAUGGGAGGGGUGUUGGAGGCCAGUCAGACGGGGUGUCUAAUAUAUGACAGGGUAUCCAGGAAAUCAUUCGGUCUCUCCCCAGGGCCUGACUUGGGAAUCACUAGGAGAAUCCAAAGUCGCACUUUCUGAGUUGGCUUCCAUCCCUUACAAAUUUGUCCUUUACAUUUUUGUAGAUGAGGAUGUUUCUCUAAUGCAAGUCCCUGUCAAUUACCUAUACAAGGUUACUGGUCCCAGUGACCAUCUUGAGUUACAAUGGUGUGAACAGCUUGUAUUAAUCCCAUAUUCCAUGACCCUUGAAUCAGCCAUCUCACACCAAAGGUUGUCCAUUUACUCCUGCACAGGGUUGUCAGAACAUCUUUUUUCCAUUCAAUCCCAUAAUCACUCCUUUUCCAUUGUUUCCAGUUCUGCAGAAUACACUCCAGGGGGCUGCCAUCUUUCGAAGACUUAGACAUUCCAUAACUACAGGAGAAUCUAUUCCUUCCCAAGUCCACUUGCAGUAGAAACACUGGCAGUCUUGGGGUUGCCCUUCGCACUGGGUUCCAGGCAUCUUGAUUGGUUACGGUCGAGCUAUAAGGCAUACAGGAUACCAGGUGUCUGGAUUCGUGUUCAAAGGGGAGCAAACAUCAGCCAUCAACAGGAGGGACCAAUACAUACUUCACCUGGUCUGCUGAACGGUCUUGUCUCAGACCACGAGGCUGUCUGGGAGGCCUCCUGGCUGGCUCACCAAAUGGUCUUGGUUUUUUCCUGGAGGGUCUCAAUUGUCAGGGGGAAAAGGAAAGCAACAUCCAGGAGAGAUCUGAAUUGUUUAUUUUGCAUGCAAGAUAGGUCAGCAGUGUAGGCUCAUGCCCAAAAGCAGAGCUGACAGUAAGCAAAGUUUUGGGCAUGGCCUUUUAUAGUCCACAGGUGAAUAAUUACUUCUCAUUGCACCUGUCAGGGAACUUUGGAUCUAGAAUGUGGCCAUCACCAGAGUUGCUGGGUCACAGAAACAACCUGAACGGUUCACCAUUUUGCAGUUACAGCAAACAUUGUAAGCAGCCAGCUUUUCUAACACUUCUGAGCUACCAUUUUUAUGAUGGCUAUAAAGGAUUGCUUAUAUGGGGGUUAAUUUUUUUCAUGUGCUAUGAGGUUCUUGUUGUGCCUGACUCCCCAGGAUCCUGAUAUAAUAGUAUCUAUCAGCUUGCUCAGGACAUCCAGAUAGGCAUGACUCCUCUAGGAUCCAGAUAGGCAUGACUCCUCUAGGCUUCAGAUAGGCA